rnacentral:rRNA from 1 species
UACGAAGGGGGCUAGCGUUGUUCGGAAUCACUGGGCGUAAAGGGCGCGUAGGCGGCCGAUCAAGUCGGGGGUGAAAGCCUGUGGCUUAACCACAGAAUGGCCUUCGAUACUGUUUGGCUUGAGACCGGAAGAGGUUAGUGGAACUGCGAGUGUAGAGGUGAAAUUCGUAGAUAUUCGCAAGAACACCAGUGGCGAAGGCGGCUGACUGGUCCGGUUCUGACGCUGAGGCGCGAAAGCGUGGGAGCAAACAGG